UUGUUAGUUGCCAUCAUUCAGUUGGGCACUCUAGCGAGACUGCCGGUAAUAAACCGGAGGAAGGUGGGGAUGACGUCAAAUCAUCAUGCCCCUUAUGACCUGGGCUACACACGUGCUACAAUGGUUGGUACAACGAGUUGCGAGUCGGUGACGGCGAGCUAAUCUCUUAAAGCCAAUCUCAGUUCGGAUUAUAGGCUGCAACUCGCCUACAUGAAGUCGGAAUCGCUAGUAAUCGCGGAUCAGCACGCCGCGGUGAAUACGUUCCCGGGCCUU
rnacentral:rRNA from 1 species